rnacentral:antisense_RNA from 1 species
CUUGAUCCCGCCCAACCACAACGGAAUCUCCCGAUCCUGACCGUACGUGGCCAGAAUCGCCUGCGCCUC